GUGCGCCGGCGGGUCGUGGUGGAAUAAAUAAAACAACUAAUAUAUGACUGCGACUACUUAGCUCACGGGCCACGGUCGCGGUGAAUGAAAUUUAAUAUUUUUUUUCCCCGUGUUGGCGCAGUGAAUUUUUUACCCACUACAACAACGACCCAUCGAUCAGAAUUUUCCCCCCUCGCCGCGCGAAUGCCACGGUUAUUAUUAUUAUUGUUUUUUACCACUCCGUAUUUUUUUUUACCGCCGCGCGACACCGCCGACGACUACACGCUAGCAGUCUCAAUAAACGCGCGCGUGCCGUCGUCGACUGAUCGCUGCCGCCGUCGCAUCUGUUGGCGGCGACACGAUUACGAUAACAUAUUUAAUUCGUAAUAAUUAACAUUAUUUAAUCGUGUUUGUUGUUUCGAUUCACCGUUUUACGCGGAUUUCUUAAAUAAUUAAGACAUCAUAUCAUUAUUAGUCUUCGUGAAACGAUAUCAUCAACACCGCCAGAGAGGACAACGACGAAAACAACAACAAUAUUAUAUUAUAAUAAUUUAUGUAAAACCGUUUUAUCGGGAUUUUGUGUGUACGUUCGCGGUCGUUUCGUCCAGCAAACCCGAUACAACGCUAUUAUCUGAACGUGAUAAGACAGUCCGCCCGUGUGCGUCUGCGAGUGUAUUUUUUAAUAAAUUUUUUUUACCGUAAUUCCGUUUCGGUUUUUUUUUUCCUUCGCUCACCGAUUUCUCCGAACUCGAAAUGCGUGUGCGUGAUUUUACGACGACCACGACUAACGCGUAUGUGUACGACCGACGACGUCGGCGCGGCGGCGGCUACACCGCCGAGGGCCGUAAUCGCUCGUAUUUUGUGUGUGUGUGUGUGUGUUGGGGGGGACGCGCGUCGUCAACGUCGUCAACGCGGCGACGGCCCUUUAUUGAUUUUUCGUAUUCGCGUGUCGUUCAGUUGUUGUUGUUGAUAAGGAGAGUGAAUUUUUUUCGUCGUCGGUCGAUAAAAUUUUUUGCGGGGAGGGGAGUUACUCCCCCACUAGUUGUGGUCGUCCGUCAACCGCCACUACCGCCGCACCACCACUACCUCUUCCGCCGUGGUUGCCUUCACUGCCUCUGGCCGCUGCUCAACGACGGCCGAUACAUGAAAAUAUUUACGGAACCGGAACUAAUGGCAGGAAAAGGCGCACGCACGCACGCACGCAUAUUCGACACGCACACGAUGUGUAAACAAACAAACGUACGGAAGACGGUGACCGAAAACGGCAACGAGCACGAAAAGUCAUCGAUUUAGCGGGAGCCAAAACGACCGAAAAAUUCAUGAAGACGAGGACUUAAACAACAACAACAAGCGGUAUCGUAGAACGCCGCUAACCGUACUUGCUCGCGUUUUCUGGUUUGGAUAGCUGCGAGUUCCAGAAGACAGAUAAAUAGUGUUCCGAAGAGCUUGAUCAGCAAAAGGUGUCUGUUAAAGAACGUAAUUAUCGUCUCGUCGUCGAAUUAACACUAGACUAUCAUAAAUUGAUGACUUGAUGAGUAUUUAGUUCAUUUAUUGAAAAAAAAAAUGAUACUAAUACAAGAAUAAUUAUUGUUUAAAAAACUGAACUGAUUGACUACCAGAGACGUUUAAUACUUACUGAAUAUUACAAAUUCACUGGUUUGCAUACAAAAGAAUGGUUAUCUCAAGAUACAGAAGACAUACCUGGUUUAUUUCCUCAUCACCUAGAUCCUGGUGCCA